CCCGGCUCCCCCUCCGCCGUUGCCAUGGGCUGCGGUUGCCACGAGUUACCGGAUGAAGGCUGGGCGGCCCCGCUCCCUGAGUAGCGGGCGCGGGGCGGAGCGGGGCGGAGAGCGCGGCGGCGCCAGUGCCAUCUGGAGGUGAAGGGAGUGAAGAGAAACCAAGGUGCAGAAAUGGAAAGAUGUUCAUAAAGCUAAUCAUAACUUCACUCAUAUAUGUAUAUGUGUGUGUUUACUAUGUGUUCACAUGGAGACCAAACACUCAAUACAUUCUGCAAGUCAUUUAAAACCAUCCUGAAAGCAGAUAUACAAAUAACUUUUACUUGGUUGUAUCCUUGAAGAAUUUGUUUUCUCUUAAAAAAUAACUGCUGCUUUUUCCACCCCCUCUGAACCGACAGGUUAGACUGCUUUUUAAUUGCAAGAUUCAAGCAAUCAAAAUGUAAAAUAAAUUCUGCACUACCCAUAAGUGCUAUGCUUUCCUGCUCAAAAUACUCUUUCUUCAAGGGAAUACCCAAACAUUUGUCACCAGAUGGUACUAGUAGUAUUAAGUGCUGGUAUAGCAGUUGCUCUCUGGAGGCUUUUGCUGUCCUGGGGCUCACUAUGUGAAGGGCUUGACAUUUAAAAGGUAGACUUGGCUUCAAAGACUUAAAAAAUGAAAAUUACAAACCACCACCUAACAAAUUAAAAAGGCAAGAGGAAGGGAGGAGCGUCACAACAUUAAUACUCGGAUGUCUCCGCGGAGGCUGGACGCGUGCGCAGUCUCGGCACAGCAGGAGCGCUCUCAGCGCUGCUUCUGCACUUUCACCGCAGCCAGGGCCAGGCAGGGCUGUGCUUACAGCGAUGGAAAUCAGCGCUCCUGGAAGAGUCACGGCUCACGGCAAUAAUUCCUAUAAACUGACUGAGCAUAUUGAAGAGAACAACAGACCUUCUAUGCACGCCUGCAAGAAGAACGAAAGGCUAAACCCUGCAAGUCUUGAUCCCAUCAGUAGUCAUUACUUGUCAGAGAUUUCACUCCUCUUGGCCAGAUUGCUCACAUGCAUAAUGACUACUUAUGUGAUUAAGGGGGCUGCAAGAUAAGGCUCUACAUUAGAAUUAGAGAUAAUAAAGUAAUUUUUUAUUCACAGACAUGUGAAUCUUUUUAAGCUUUCUGUAAAUGCUCGUGAUCUCUAGACCUUUAAAGAAGAAAGACUGAAAAACAUCACAAGCAGAAGAAAUAAUGUCAUUUUUGAGGAAAUGCUGGAUACUAUAUGAGGAAUAUUUAUAUUUUCCUGUGUUAUGGCAAAAAUAUUUACAAAAGAAAAAAAGCAUGUAUUUUUUCUUAUUUGGACAAGGUCCAAAAUCUGGUUUUCUUCAACAUGAUUUUAUUAUGUAUAUUAUACACUGUUCUGCUGGAGAAAAACAACAUAUGGCUGAACAGUACAACUUAAUCCUAACUAAAGAUUUCCUGUAUCUACUGUAACCUAAUACAAUGACAGAUGCAUACUUGAAUGUGUGUGGAAGGUUAACACUCCGAUUUUGUUUUCAACAAAUUUACUCUGCCCAUUUACAUCAGCUCACAAGAGCAAGGGAAAAACCCAAGGAGCUGAGAGAUGGAUGACAGCCUGUGCUGUGGUGCCCUCUACUGAGCAUCCAGCCCCUCAGCCCCAGCCCACACCAAACAAAGCCCCAGUUUCCUCUAAAAAGGCUGACUGUGUUUCUUCCUUCACUUUUUAUAAGGGAGGAAAUGUUAUUGAUAUCAAGCAACUGUGAAGCAACUGUUGGGGAUGUGAUAAUGCGUGCGGUUAGGAGAAGAUUGAGCCACAUGUGCCUGCUACGCAUUUUUCCCUCACCAGAUAGGAAAUACCAGCAAGGCUCCACUGGAGAGAGGAAAUUUGCCCAAGGUGGUUCCACCUGCCCCACAAUUGCCAAUGCUCCUGCCUGAGCCCCUGGUGGGGGUAAGCUGCAUCUCCCACUUUCCACAUCACUGGGACAGCACCCAGUGGAGACACCUCCAGAAGAGACUGCUGACCCAGCACCAGCUGCAGCUCAUGGGACUGCAGUAGAAAAGGCAAGGAGGUGCUUGACACCAGACAACUUCAGAAAAUGGCUCUGCCUUAGGCAGAUGAAUUUUGGGUGGCUUCCUCACUCUGGCACCCAGCAAGCCAAUGCAUGGCCUUCUGCAGGAGCCACACUGUAAAUGCCCUCUCUUCCCUGUGGAUCUAUGCAUUUAAUUUCUCCAAACUCUGUGUCUUCCACCCCAUCAUAAACUGCGUAUCUGAAAAGUAAUUGAAGAGUAAUCCUUCUUCCUAAAUCAUGUAAGUUUUUGGGAUCCAACUAUAUUCAAUAAAAAAAAAAGUCAUCAAUUGAACUCAACUUCA